rnacentral:rRNA from 1 species
AUUGAACGCUGGCGGCAUGCCUUACACAUGCAAGUCGAACGGCAGCACGGGAGCAAUCCUGGUGGCGAGUGGCGAACGGGUGAGUAAUGUAUCGGAACGUGCCCAGUCGUGGGGGAUAACGUAGCGAAAGCUACGCUAAUACCGCAUACGAUCUAUGGAUGAAAGCGGGGGAUCGCAAGACCUCGCGCGAUUGGAGCGGCCGAUAUCAGAUUAGGUAGUUGGUGGGGUAAAGGCCCACCAAGCCGACGAUCUGUAGCUGGUCUGAGAGGACGACCAGCCACACUGGGACUGAGACACGGCCCAGAGUCCUACGGGAGGCAGCAGUGGGGAAUUUUGGACAAUGGGCGCAAGCCUGAUCCAGCAAUGCCGCGUGCAGGAUGAAGGCCUUCGGGUUGUAAACUGCUUUUGUACGGAGCGAAAAGGCUCUCUCUAAUACAGGGGGCUCAUGACGGUACCGUAAGAAUAAGCACCGGCUAACUACGUGCCAGCCGCCGCAGUAACAC